CCUACGGGUGGGCAGCAGUGGGGGAUAUUGCACAAUGGGGGGAACCCUGAUGCAGCGACGCCGCGUGGGUGAAGGAGCGUUUCGGCGCGUAAAGCCCUAUCGGCAGGGAAGAAGGAGGACGGUACCUGACUAAGAAGCCCCGGCUAACUACGUGCCAGCAGCCGCGGUAAUACGUAGGGGGCAAGCGUUAUCCGGAUUUACUGGGUGUAAAGGGGGCGCAGACGGCAGCGCAAGCCAGGAGUGAAAGCCCGGGGCCCAACCCCGGGAGUGCAUUUGAAACUGUCCAGCUGGAGUGCAGGAGAGGUAAGCGGAAUUCCUAGUGUAGCGGUGAAAUGCAUAGAUAUUAGGAGGAACACCAGUGGCGAAGGCGGCUUACUGGACUGUAACUGACACUGAGGCUCGAAAGCGUGGGGAGCAAACAGGAUUAGAUACCCGAGUAGUC
rnacentral:rRNA from 1 species